AACGAACGCUGGCGGCAUGCCUAACACAUGCAAGUCGAACGAGACCUUCGGGUCUAGUGGCGCACGGGUGCGUAACGCGUGGGAACCUGCCUUUAGGUUCGGAAUAACUCAGAGAAAUUUGAGCUAAUACCGGAUAAUGUCUUCGGACCAAAGAUUUAUCGCCUUUAGAUGGGCCCGCGUAAGAUUAGCUAGUUGGUGGGUAAAGGCCUACCAAGGCGACGAUCUUUAGCUGGUCUGAGAGGAUGAUCAGCCACACUGGGACUGAGACACGGCCCAGACUCCUACGGGAGGCAGCAGUGGGAAUAUUGGACAAUGGGCGAAAGCCUGAUCCAGCAAUGCCGCGUGAGUGAUGAAGGCCUUAGGGGUUGUAAAGCUCUUUUACCCGAGAUGAUAAUGACAGUAUCGGGAGAAUAAGCUCCGGCUAACUCCGUGCCAGCAGCCGCGGUAA
rnacentral:rRNA from 1 species